CGUCGGUCACGACCCUGCACAGGUACCCUCCGGCAUCCUCCAGGUUCAGGGCUGCGCCGUGCUUCACCAGGAGGGAGGUGAUCCUGUCGUGCCCGGAUCUCAGGGCUAGCAGCAACGUUGAGUUCCCAAACUUAUCUGCAGGAACCUGACGAUAUCUUCAUAUCCUCUUAACGCGGCCACAUGCUGUAAUAACGUAAAGUCCAGGAAAGAGUUUGGUAAAUCUACAAUUUAUUCAAAAUUGCAGGUAUUUUCUUUCACAUGGUUCUAUCCAAAAGAGGAGGUAAUUUGCAAUAUGCUAUUUCAUAUUUUCAGAAAGGAGGAAAAAAUGUAUUUCAUGCUGCACUUGUUUCAGUGAAAAUGAACUUCUGUACUCUGAAUUACAAUUUUUUUUCGAAAUAAAGAAUUACAGUUACUAUAUGAGAGAGUUCACAUACCAGUGCGGUCCUUCCAUCGUAAUCGGGUUUACUAGGAUCAGCUCCUGCACUGAUCAAACCCUUCAAACGGAACAAGUCUCCAUGGUAAGCAGCAUUGUUCACUCCGAGAACUAGUUCUGCUUCUUGCCUUGAUAUCAGGUAUGUGAUGUCUGAUUCGAGCUGCUUCCCUCUGGAUUUGGUUUUUCUCCACUACAGGAAUAAAAAAAUUCAUUUGCAGCUAAGUUUUGAUCCAGACUCGCUGUUGUUGACAUGUUACCUUCAGCAGGUUGCUCAAGAUCUGACGGCUAUCCUUGAAGUAAAUUUGCAGAAUGCUGGUCAGGGACUGCUUGUCGAUUCUCAGGACGCUGCAAAGCUCACAGACCCUAACUGUGUGUGGCUGUGGAACAUUGCAAACUACAGCAACAUCGCCGACGAUGUCGUAAGGCAGCAGCUCUGAGAUGAUCUCCUCUGAUCCACCUUCUCCAGCGGCCACCUCUUCCUGUGACAGUAAUAAUAGGAUGAUUGAUACAGUGAUACAGCUGAGUUCUGUUUUCUCAUAACUCAUGUAUUCUUUUCCUUCAAACUGAAUAGUGGAAAUUUUAGAAUCAUGGUUAUAAAAUUGUUGCUGAAAAUUAGUACCAGGCAUCCGUGUACGACAAUAUAAAUUUGGUCCACCACAGUGCCUUGCUCUAAGAUAACCUCACCAGGGAGGAAGAAUUCUUCAUGCAAUUUUACCACCUGAAAUUAUAGAUGGAAAAGUUUGAAUGAAUACCAUGCUUGUACUAACUAUAUUUACGAAUUACUAGUGAGAAACAUGAAUCCACUCAAAAGCUUACAAUCUGGCUCAGGAAGUCCUCUGAACAUCCUUUGAACAGGCGCACUUUCGAAACCAUGUCGAGAAGAUUGUCUACCUUUGAUCGAACAGCAACCGGGAUAUCGUCGACGACUCUGUCCUUGGUGUAGCUGCUCUCAUACUGCAGCAGCAAGUGAUCCUUCACCUGGGACCUGAUGUCGGCGCCCAGCUUGUUCCUGUUCAUGUACCUGAUGAGAUAGGCGCUGAGAAGGAUGCUGAACGAGAUGUACGCCACGGUGAAGGUCAUCUCCCUCGGGUUCACCGCAUGGAUGUCGCCGUAACCUGCAGAAUGCCUUUGCACGAUCAGAAACUACUGCAGAUUUGUCGAUCCACAUGAUGGACAAGAUGACCGAUCGAGAGCACCGUCGUACCGACUGUCGCCAUGGUGACGAUGGCGACGUACAGCGAGGUGACGUAGCGGGUGAGCAGGUCGAUCUCCCUGAAGCUGAUGUACCUGGUGUCCCCCAGUAUCAGGCCCCCGAUCCAGGUGCCGCCCUCGCGCGCCGGCGGCAGCGUGGUGGCGAGGUAGUAAAAGACGCAGGCGGCGGUGUGCGUGAAGUAGAGCUCGACGGUGAUGAGCUUCACGAUCCGCGUGAAGAGGUAGCUGAUGCGGAUGUCCUUCUCCAUCUUCUUGAAGAAGGCCAUGAUCUUGCGGGCCCUGUACAGCCGCAGCCACACCAGGCACCUCACCAUCUCCGUCCUUCCCGUGGCCUGAUAGACACAGGGAACGAACAGUCUUGUGAAUUGUGAUGAACAGAAACUCCUCUCUGACGCUCAGUGGUAAUUGUAGUUGCAGGGAUUGAGAUGCCACCUUGUAUAUGAAAUCCCAUGGGAAGCAACCUAGGAUGUCAAGAGCGAAGCUUCCUUUGAUGUAGCUGCAGAAGAACAUCAUAUUCA